rnacentral:rRNA from 1 species
UUGAUACUAUUAGGCUUGAGUUAAGAAGAGGUAAGCAGAAUUUAUGGUGUAGUAGUGAAAUGCUUAGAUAUCAUAAGGAAUACCAAUAGCGUAGGCAGCUUACUGGCCUUUAACUGACGCUGAGGCACGAAAGCGUGGGGAGCAAACAGGAUUAGAUACCCUGGUAGUCCACGCCGUAAACGAUGAUCACUCGAUAUACAUGAUACAUCAUGUGUGUCUAAGCGAAAGCGUUAAGUGAUCCACCUGGGGAGUAUACUCGCAAGGGUGAAACUCAAAGGAAUUGACGGGGGUCCGCACAAGCGGUGGAGUAUGUGGUUUAAUUCGAUAAUACGCGAGGAACCUUACCUGGGCUAGAAUGUGUUUUGCUACCUGAGAAAUUGAGGGUUCCUUCGGGACGGAAUACAAGGUGCUGCAUGGCUGUCGUUAGCUCGUGCCGUGAGGUGUUGGGUUAAGGCCUAUAACGAGCGAAACCCUUUUACUUAAUUGCCAGCACGUAAUGGUGGGGACUUUAAGUAGACUGCCCGUGUAAGCGGGAGGAAGGAGAGGACGAGGUCAAGUCAUCAUGGCCUUUAUGCCCAGGGCUACACUCGUACUACAAUGGCAUGUACAAAGGGAAGUUACUUGGCAACAAGAUGCAAAUCUCAAAAGCAUGUCUCAGUUCGGAUUGAGGUCUGCAAUUCGACCUCAUGAAGUUGGAAUCGCUAGUAAUCGCGUAUCAGCAAUGACGCGGUGAAUACGUUCUCGGACCUUGUACACACCGCCCAUCAAGCCAUG